rnacentral:snRNA from 1 species
AUCGCUUCUCGGCCUUUUGGCUAAGAUCAAGUGUAGUAUCAAAGUAUUCCCAGGAUUAGCUAGAAAAAGGUAUUCCUUACUUUUCACAACCUUA